GGAAAAUGUGUUUAAAAAGAAGAAUUCAAGACGUAUGCUGGCAUCUGAGGCAGUCACCAACACGCAGAAACGGAGCCCUGGGUGUUAGAGGAGAGGCUGGGAAUUGCAAGCACCCUGUGACAGACACUUGCUCCUAUGAGGGUAGAAGACAUCCUGACUGUUUCACAAAUGACAGGCUUGACAGAAGGGGGAUUGGAGCCCUCAGUCUCUCUGUGGAAGAUAGCCUCAAUACUGCCCAUCAGGCUAACACAAAUGCAAGCAAACAAGGCAAAUGUCUUUACAUGAGAAAGCAGCUGGCUGAUGACGUCCCACAACUGAAGACAUAGACCACUGCAAACAGGCAGCAGGCUGCAAGGAAGGUGCAUGGAGACAUUGUCAGGCAAGGACUUGCCCUACAGCACAGCACUGGCAGCCUAAAGCACGGGGAUUAAUUUUACCAUGCGUACUUUCACUGGACUGAAACCAACUUGCACACUAUGCCAGCAUCCCCUCCAAGGCAGGUUCACCCUGGGGUGUGAUUCACAUGGCUGAUGCAUUUCUGACCACGAAGCUUUAGCACCAGUUCCCCCCUAGGACUGGGGGAAAGGAGAGCCAAAUGUUGUUCCCCUCUCAAAAUCUCUUUUCACCAAGAAAUCAACUCUGUGGUGAAGCCAUCUGUUGUGAGAAGUGUUUGCUUAUGAUUAACAAAUCUCCAUAUUGUAAGGAAACCAAAUCUCUAUAUUAAAAAAUAAAUCUUUUUAAAGGGAAAAUAAACA
rnacentral:lncRNA from 1 species